GAACAUCUGUGGAGAUCAAGAUGAAGAGAGAAUUGUAAGAGAGGAUUCUUGUAAACUAAGGUAAGAAGCAUGCACACACCAACAGAACCGAGUAUUGAACAGUAAGUUCAUUCCAUUUGUAUAAGCAAAAAGUUUCAUGCACUUUGCUAUAUCAUUGGAAAAUAUUGCUACACAAAAACAGAACAGCAAAUCAAAUAAUGGAGUCAAAUAUUGCUACACAGGAUAUGGUUGUACGAUAUUUGUUAGCAUAUACCAACUGGACUCACAAGAAGUUGUAGAGCAUAUGUGAGAGAUUUAUUGUUAUGUUCCCACAUUUUCAAUGGAAAAUGGGUUGCCUAAAUUAAUGCUGUACUUGUGCUUUUUUCUCUAUUUAAUUUUCUUUGCAGGUGGAAAAUGAGCAUCUUUUGGCCAGUAGGUGCUAUGAGAAAACAUCAGAGCAUCAGAAUUUUACUAUUUUUGCACCAAAAAAAAAA
rnacentral:misc_RNA from 1 species